CCACUACCACCCCACAAUACCUACAUCAAUGGAUAGAUCUCCUCAAGACCUAGCUAUUGAUGCCAAUUCACCCUGAAAAUCCGGCCAAAUUCCGGCGACCUCCCCGAACACCCUCUUUUGGCAUACCACCAUUUUUUCGGCCACAUGAAUUGUAAAAUGGUAAUCCUUUAAGACUCGUAAUGUACGUAUUUUCAGCAAUGGGAACAACUUGAACAUACUUCACCAUUUAAAUGUGUUUGAUGUGAUGAAUAGUUUGACAACAAAAGAGCUUGUAUGUUAUUGUUAUGUAUCAUGCAUGUGAUAAUGUGAAUAUAGUCCUUCAUAAUACUUGAAUAUUGAGUUGUAAGUUUUUGAAUGUGAUAUCUAAGUCGUUUAUGGAUUUUUUAA